ACUCAAAGGAAUUGACGGGGGCCCGCACAAGCGGUGGAACAUGUGGUUUAAUUCGAUGCUACGCGAAGAACCUCACCAGGGCUUGACAUGCAAGAAGUAGUGAACUGAAAGGGGAUCGAACUGUUAAGUCAGUAGCUUGCACAGGUGCUGCAUGGCUGUCGUCAGCUCGUGUCGUGAGAUGUUGGGUUAAGUCCCGCAACGAGCGCAACCAUUAUCUCUUGUUGCCACCAAUUUUUUGCCGUAAGGCGAAGAGUUGAGCACUCUAGAGAGACUGCCUGGGAUAACCAGGAGGAAGGUGGAGAUGACGUCAAGUCAGUACGGCCUUUAUACCCUGGGCGACACACGUGUUACAAUGGUAGAUACAGAGGGUUGCCAACCCGCGAGGGGGAGCUAAUCUCAAAAAAUCUGCCUCAGUUCAGAUUGAAGUCUGCAAUUCGACUUCAUGAAGCCGGAAUCGCUAGUAAUGGCAGAUCAGCACGCUGCCGUGAAUACGUUCCCGGGCCUUGUACACACCGCCCGU
rnacentral:rRNA from 1 species